GCGGUAAUUCAAGCUCCAAUACCGUACAUGUAAAUUGUUGCGGUUGAAAAGCUCGUAGUUGGACUUCUGGCGACCGCGUUCGGUCCGCCAAGCGCGUGCACUGUCCGCGGUCGUCGUUUCUGUCGACGUGGCGCGUCGGCCUUAGUUGGUCGGUGCGUCGUCUGUCGGCGAUGUUACUUUGAGGAAAUCAGAGUGCUCAAGGCAAGCGUUCGCUCGUGACUUCACUAGCAUGGAAUAACACAGAUGGGCUCUUUCUCGCACUGUUGGUCUGCGUCAAUUGAGCAACGAUCGAUAGAGACGGUCGGGGGCAUUCGUAUUGCGCAGUUAGAGGUGAAAUUCUCCGAUCUGCGCAAGACGCACUAAUGCGAAAGCAGUUGCCAAGGACGUCCUCUUAUGAUCAAGAGCGAAAGUCGGGGGAUCAAAGAUGAUUAGAUACCGUCGUAGUCCCGACCAUAAAUGAUGCCGACUGAGCUUCGGCGACUCGACCUCAGGUCGUACGUCGGCGCUCUUAGAGAAAUUAAAGUCUUUGGGCUCCGGGGGUAGUAUGGUCGCAAGUCUGAAACUUGAAGGAAUUGACGGAAGGGCACCACAAGGCGUGGAUGUUGCGGCUUAAUUUGACUCAACACGGGAAAGCUUACUAGGUUUGGACACCUUUGUGAUGGACAGAUUGAAGCUCUUACCCUACUGCGUGGAUGGUGGUGCAUGGUCGUUCUCAGCCCGUGGGUUGACCUGUCAGGUUUACUCCGGUAACGCGCGAGACCUCGGUCUGCUAAAUAGACGCGGCUGUUCCGGCACCCGCGCUCUUCUUAGAGAGAGACUCGACGAGAGUCGAGGGAAGUCGAGGCAAUAACAGAUCUGUGAUGCCCUUAGUUAUCCUAGGUCGCACGCGCCAUACAAUGUGGYGCACAACGAGUCUCCUUGGCCGACAGGAUCUGGGCAAUCUGGCAGAGCGCUACGUGACUGGGCUAGACUUUUGUAAUUUUUGGUCUUGAACGAGGAAUGCCUAGUAAUCGCAGGUCAGCAUCCUGCGAUGAUUCGGUCCCUGCCCUUUGUACACACCGCCCGUCGCUCCAUCCGUGGCAUGCGCCGGUGAAGAGGGGGAGGCAGCGUCGGCCGGGUAACACCGGAUCGUACGUGGAACCCCUCUGAACCUUCGCACGUAGAGGAAGGAGAAGUCGUAACAAGGUUUUCGUAGGUGAACCUGCGAAAGGAUCAUUAUCGGCAC
rnacentral:rRNA from 1 species